rnacentral:rRNA from 1 species
UUAAGUUACUAAGGGCGUACAGUGAAUGCCUUGGCACUAGAAGGCGAUGAAGGACGCGACUACCUGCGAUAAGCGAUGGGGAGCUGGAUGUAAGCAACGAACCGUCGAUCUCCGAAUGGGGAAACCCAGUAUGAGUAAUGUCAUAUUAUCCUUAAUAUUAAAAGUUUAAGGAAGCGAUACCUAGGGAAUUGAAACAUCUUAGUACCUAGAGGAAAAGAAAGAGAAUUCGAUUCCGUAAGUAGCGGCGAGCGAAAGCGGAACAGCCCAAACCUGUCUUUGGACGGGGGUUUUGGAGCGCAAUAUGUGAGUGUAAUAGUCCAGAUGAAUGGCAUUGAAAGGCCAACCAAAGACGGUGCAAGUCCUGUAAUUAAACGAUUAUUACCCGCUAGCGAUUUCCAGAGUACGGCGAGGCACGUGGAACCUUGUCGGAAGAUACGCAGACCACUGCGAAAGGCUAAAUACUAACUAGUGACCGAUAGUGAACCAGUACCGUGAGGGAAAGGUGAAAAGAACCCCGGGAGGGGAGUGAAAAGAAUCUGAAACUGUAUGCUUACAAGAAGUCAGAGGCCGUUAAAGGCUGAUGGCGUGCCUUUUGAAGAAUGAACCGGCGAGUUAUGGUUGUCGUGCAAGGUUAAGCUGACGAAGCGGAGCCGUAGUGAAAGCGAGCCUGAAUAGGGCGAAUUAGUACGAUGACAUAGACCCGAAACCCGUGCGAUCUAUUCAUGACCAAGUUGAAAGUGGGGUAAUACCCACCGGAGGACUGAACCGACGUUCGUUGAAACGCCCGCGGAUGAGUUGUGAAUCGUAGAGAAAUUCUAAUCGAGCCGGGUAAUAGCUGGUUCUCCCCGAAAUAGCUUUAGGGCUAGCGUCUAAUAUUGUUAGUGGAGGUAGAGCACUGAAUGCUUGAUGGCCGCGUCCAGCGGUACUGAAUGUAAUCAAACUCCGAAUGCCAUUAAUUUUAGUUAGGCAGUCAGACUGUGGGGGCUAAGCUCCAUGGUCGAAAGGGAAACAGCCCAGACCGUCAAUUAAGGUCCCUAAAUUUAUGCUAAGUGUAGAAGGAUGUGGAGACGCACAAACAGCUAGGAUGUUAGCUUAGAAGCAGCUACCAUUUAAAGAAAGCGUAACAGCUCACUAGUCGAGUAUCUCUGCGCCGAAGAUUUACCGGGGCUAAGCAUAAUACCGAAAUUACGGAUUAAUACUUAAAGUAUUAGUGGUAGGGGAGCGUUCCAUAUUGGUUGAAGCAAUACCGAAAGGAGUUGUGGACGAUAUGGAAGUGAGAAUGCCGGUGUGAGUAACGAAUGUAGGUGAGAAUCCUACACACCGAUUGACCAAGGUUUCCUGGGCAAGGUUCGUCCACCCAGGGUUAGUCGGGACCUAAGGCGAGGCCGAAAGGCGUAGCCGAUGGACGGCAGGUUGAUAUUCCUGCACCCGUAUAUGUGCGAUGUAGUGACAGGGAAGGCUAACUUAUUCCGGUUAUUGGAUUCCGGAUGGUGCGAGGUAGCUGUUUGAUAGGCAAAUCCGUCAAACACUAAGGCGAAGACGCAUCGGGAAUGAAUGGGGCAACCCUAGUAAUGAAGUAAGUGACGCCAUCUCUCAAGAAAAGCUGCUAGCUUAAGCAUAUAUGGCCCGUACCGAGAACGGACACACGUGGUCAAGGAGAGUAUCCUAAGGUGAGCGAGAUAACUGUUGUUAAGGAACUCGGCAAAAUAGCUUCGUAAGUUCGCAAGAAGAAGCGCUCGCGCGAGCGAGCCGCAGUGAAUAGGCCCAAGCAACUGUUUAACAAAAACACAGCUCUAUGCGAAGCCGUAAGGCGAUGUAUAUGGGGUGAUGCCUGCCCAGUGCUGGAAGGUUAAGAGGAGAGGUUAGCCGCAAGGCGAAGCUUUGAAUUGAAGCCCUAGUGAACGGCGGCCGUAACUAUAACGGUCCUAAGGUAGCGAAAUUCCUUGUCAG